rnacentral:piRNA from 1 species
UAUGAAAAUUAAUCCAAAUUC